AUGUCUUUCAAUGCAGGCCUAACAUCUUCUUCACAAAACUUGGCAUACUCCAGAGUAUCGCCGCCCGAUUUGGAGAAUUCCACGACAGCGACCUCCGGAGCUACCUCGAACACCUCGGCGGUGACUGAAAGCCGGCCUUUCCUUCCUUCCGACUGGCCUUGCAAUCUCAUUUUAAAGUCUUUUACCUUCGCUACCUUAAAAUUCAACCCUUUUGCAACGCCUUCAAUCUUGUUCAUGAUUGCACUCGCAGAGAAUUUGGAGGUGAACAUAGACCCUGUUUUCCUCUUGUUUUCGAAAAGACUUGACAGAUCAAACCCAGAAGACAUUGAGGAAAUGAACUCAAAAGCGUUGAAGAAUUUUGGGGAGGAAACUUUAGUCAU
rnacentral:misc_RNA from 1 species